UGAACGCUGGCGGCGUGCUUAACACAUGCAAGUCGAACGAGAACGGAUUAAAGCUUGCUUUAAUUGUCAGCUAAGUGGCGCACGGGUGAGUAAUAUAUAGUUAACCUGCCUUAGAGAAGAGAAUAAUUGCUGGAAACGGCUUGUAAUGCUCUAUAUGCCUUUAUGACAUAAGUCAGCAAGGGAAAUGCUUUAGUGCUCUAAGAUGGGACUGUACGGUAUCAGCUAGUUGGUGAGGUAAUGGCUCACCAAGGCAAUGACAUCUAACUGGUUUGAGAGGAUGAUCAGUCACACUGGAACUGAGACACGGUCCAGACUCCUACGGGAGGCAGCAGUGGGGAAUAUUGCACAAUGGACGAAAGUCUGAUGCAGCAACGCCGCGUGGAGGAUGACACUUUUCGGAGCGUAAACUCCUUUUAUAUCCCAAGAUAAUGACGGUAGGAUAUGAAUAAGCACCGGCUAACUCC
rnacentral:rRNA from 1 species